rnacentral:sRNA from 1 species
ACUCACAACGGCCACCUGAAGUGAGUCUUAAUAUUUAUGGAGCU